GACGAACGCUGGCGGCGUGCUUAACACAUGCAAGUCGAACGGAAAGGCCCUGCUUUUGUGGGAUGCUCGAGUGGCGAACGGGUGAGUAACACGUGAGUAACCUGCCCUUGACUUUGGGAUAACUUCAGGAAACUGGGGCUAAUACCGGAUAGGAGCUCCUGCUGCAUGGUGGUGGUUGGAAAGUUUCGGCGGUUGGGGAUGGACUCGCGGCUUAUCAGCUUGUUGGUGGGGUAGUGGCUUACCAAGGCUUUGACGGGUAGCCGGCCUGAGAGGGUGACCGGCCACAUUGGGACUGAGAUACGGCCCAGACUCCUACGGGAGGCAGCAGUGGGGAAUAUGGAACAAUGGGCGGAAGCCGGAUGCAGCAACGCCGCGUGCGGGAUGACGGCCUUCGGGUUGUAAACCGCUUUCGCCUGUGACGAAGCGUGAGUGACGGUAAUGGGUAAAGAAGCACCGGCUAACUACGUG
rnacentral:rRNA from 1 species